CCUACGGGAGGCAGCAGUGGGGAAUUUUGGACAAUGGGGGCAACCCUGAUCCAGCAAUGCCGCGUGAGUGAAGAAGGCCUUCGGGUUGUAAAGCUCUUUUGUCAGGGAAGAAAUCGUGGACUCUAACAUAGUCUGCGGAUGACGGUACCUGAAGAAUAAGCACCGGCUAACUACGUGCCAGCAGCCGCGGUAAUACGUAGGGUGCAAGCGUUAAUCGGAAUUACUGGGCGUAAAGCGUGCGCAGGCGGUUUUGUAAGUCUGAUGUGAAAUCCCCGGGCUUAACCUGGGAACUGCAUUGGAGACUGCAAGGCUAGAGUGUGUCAGAGGGGGGUAGAAUUCCACGUGUAGCAGUGAAAUGCGUAGAUAUGUGGAGGAAUACCGAUGGCGAAGGCAGCCCCCUGGGAUAACACUGACGCUCAUGCACGAAAGCGUGGGGAGCAAACAGGAUUAGAUACCCUGGUAGUCCACGCCCUAAACGAUGUCAACUAGUUGUCGGGACUUAAUUGUCUUGGUAACGCAACUAACGCGUGAAGUUGACCGCCUGGGGGAGUACGGUCGCAAGAUUAAAAACUCAAAGGAAUUGACGGGGACCCGCACAAGCGGUGGAUGAUGUGGAUUAAUUCGAUGC
rnacentral:rRNA from 1 species